UAAACGGCGGACGGGUGAGUAACAAGGGGGUAACCUGCCUGUAAGACUGGGAUAACUCCGGGAAACCGGAGCUAAUACCGGAUAGUUCCUUGAACCGCAUGGUUCAAGGAUGAAAGACGGUUUCGGCUGUCACUUACAGAUGGACCCGCGGCGCAUUAGCUAGUUGGUGGGGUAAUGGCUCACCAAGGCGACGAUGCGUAGCCGACCUGAGAGGGUGAUCGGCCACACUGGGACUGAGACACGGCCCAGACUCCUACGGGAGGCAGCAGUAGGGAAUCUUCCGCAAUGGACGAAAGUCUGACGGAGCAACGCCGCGUGAGUGAUGAAGGUUUUCGGAUCGUAAAGCUCUGUUGUUAGGGAAGAACAAGUGCGAGAGUAACUGCUCGCACCUUGACGGUACCUAACCAGAAAGCCACGGCUAACUACGUGCCAGCAGCCGCGGUAAUACGUAGGUGGCAAGCGUUGUCCGGAAUUAUUGGGCGUAAAGGGCUCGCAGGCGGUUUCUUAAGUCUGAUGUGAAAGCCCCCGGCUCAACCGGGGAGGGUCAUUGGAAACUGGGAAACUUGAGUGCAGAAGAGGAGAGUGGAAUUCCACGUGUAGCGGUGAAAUGCGUAGAGAUGUGGAGGAACACCAGUGGCGAAGGCGACUCUCUGGUCUGUAACUGACGCUGAGGAGCGAAAGCGUGGGGAGCGAACAGGAUUAGAUACCCUGGUAGUCCACGCCGUAAACGAUGAGUGCUAAGUGUUAGGGGGUUUCCGCCCCUUUAGUGCUGCAGCUAACGCAUUAAGCACUCCGCCUGGCGAGUACGGUCGCAAGACUGAAACUCAAAGGUAUU
rnacentral:rRNA from 1 species